AGUGAACGCUGGCGGUAGGCCUAACACAUGCAAGUCGAACGGCAGCACAGUAAGAGCUUGCUCUUACGGGUGGCGAGUGGCGGACGGGUGAGGAAUACAUCGGAAUCUACUUUUUCGUGGGGGAUAACGUAGGGAAACUUACGCUAAUACCGCAUACGACCUACGGGUGAAAGCAGGGGAUCUUCGGACCUUGCGCGAUUGAAUGAGCCGAUGUCGGAUUAGCUAGUUGGCGGGGUAAAGGCCCACCAAGGCGACGAUCCGUAGCUGGCCUGAGAGGGUGAUCGGCCACAUGGAAACGGAAACAGGGCCCGAAUUCCUACGGGAGCAAGCGUGGGGAAUUUUGGACCAUGGGCGCAAGCCUGAUCCAGCCAUACCGCGUGGGUGAAGAAGGCCUUCGGGUUGUAAAGCCCUUUUGUUGGGAAAGAAAAGCAGCAGGUUAAUACCCCGCUGUUCUGACGGUACCCAAAGAAUAAGCACCGGCUAACUUCGUG
rnacentral:rRNA from 1 species